AGUGAACGCUGGCGGCAGGCCUAACACAUGCAAGUCGAACGGCAGCACAGUAAGAGCUCGCUCUUACGGGUGGCGAGUGACGGACGGGUGAGAAAUACAUCGGAAUCUACUUAUACGGGGGGGAUAACGUAGGGAAUCUUCCACUAACACCGCAUAUGACGUACGGGUGGAAUCAGGGGAGCAUUGGGCUUUGGGCGAUUCAAUGAGCCGAUGUCGGAUUAGCUAGUUGGCGGGGUAAAGGCCCACCAAGGCGACGAUACGUAGCUGGUCUGAGAGGAUGAUCAGCCACACUGGAACUGAGACACGGUCCAGACUCCUACGGGAGGCAGCAGUGGGGAAUAUUGGACAAUGGGCGAAAGCCUGAUCCAGCCAUACCGCGUGAGUGAAGAAGGUCUUCGGGUUGUAAAGCCCUUUUGUUGGGAAAGAAAAGCAGCAUGUUAAUACCCCGCUGUUCUGACGGUACCCAAAGAAUAAGCACCGGCUAACUUCGUG
rnacentral:rRNA from 1 species